UACGUAGGGGGCAAGCGUUGUCCGGAAUUAUUGGGCGUAAAGAGCGUGUAGGCGGCCAGAUAAGUCCGCUGUGAAAUCUCGAGGCUCAACUUCGAGCUGUCGGUGGAAACUAUCUGGCUAGAGUCCGGAAGAGGAGAAUGGAAUUCCUGGUGUAGCGGUGAAAUGCGCAGAUAUCAGGAGGAACACCGGUGGUGUAGACGGCUCACUGGACCGUAACUGACGCUGAGACACGAAAGCGUGGGUAGCAAACAGG
rnacentral:rRNA from 1 species